CUCUGUCCUGCCAGCCUUUCGUGGGCUUGCGGGAUAAGUUGCAUCCUGUGGCCGGUGCGCCCGCAACGACUCCUGGGACAGACAAUCCCGGGUCGAGGCGGCGCCUGCCCAAUCGGAUGGAGCCGUGUGGGGAGCUGACUGCUCUAACAUCCCCUAUCGACGGCGAUCCAUAUUUUUCU
rnacentral:misc_RNA from 1 species